rnacentral:rRNA from 1 species
AACCUGUUUUCUAAUCGAUAACCCACGUUAAAUUUCACUUUAAUUAAAAAUUUAUAUACCGCCAUCUAAAAAACUAAUUUAAAAAUAAUAUUUUUAUUAAAAAAUAAAAAGUUAGGUCAAGGUGUAAUCUAUAUUAAAGUAAACAAUGGGUUACAUUAAAAACAAUUUAAGGAUUUUCUUUCUAUAAAAAUAUCUAAAAAAGGAUUUAAAAGUAAUAUUGUAAUAAUAUUACAUUAUGAUUAAGAUAAUAAAUGUGC